rnacentral:lncRNA from 1 species
GUGUAGCGCGGCCCCACAAGCAGCGCCACCUAGAGGCAUUUCGCAAUCAUUUGAGCGCAAACACACUGCACAUUCACACACGCACACACCCUCAGAUCGCGGCACUAAACAUGAUCAGCACUCUGCCUGGAUGUGUGGGGGUGCGUGUGUGAAUGUUCCUUGUGUUUGUGCUCAAAUAAUUUCAAAGUGUUUUACCAACUAGCCCAGCAACAAGUUCUGUUUACAUCUAGAAACAAAGCGGAGAACGAGAAGCACGAAGCCUCACGAAAGAGGAGCUUGUGAGCCAAGAAUAACAACGGUCUAUGGGAGCACCUGUGGCUGGAUAUGCUGUCUCUAAUGUGCUUGAGAACUCCGGACAGGCCGGUACCUUUAGUAAUCUUGUGCAUCGAGGUGGAACUUCGGUUCAAUGCUAACAUAGCAAGACUCGAGAGCGAACUCAAUGAUGUGGUAGAUGCUUUCUCUGAAAAGGAAGAACGGGUCUGCACACUGGUGGAUGUUAUGAAGCACAUACAAGGCAACGUUGGGCACAGUCUGAUAAAUGAGACGGAAUUGCCUGGUGAUGAGCUUCAAAUAUCAGCGCCUCACAUUUACUGCACUCCUGCCAAAGUCUACGUUUUUCGUGCGCACGCCAAAGGGCUGGAACGCUCUCCGUGCCAGCACCCUGCACCACUCCACUUCGAUACUCUUCAAAGAAGACGUUGUAAAACUUGUGCUAUGUUAAUCUACUGCCCACCCCUCAUGUAAAACCCCUAAAUAGGGGCCUUUGAGGUAUUGGAAAUAAAUAAUAAAAUAAAUAUCCGAGACAUUGCCCGGAGAGCUUUG